GACGAACGCUGGCGGCGUGCUUAACACAUGCAAGUCGAGCGGAAAGGCCACUUCGGUGGUACUCGAGCGGCGAACGGGUGAGUAACACGUGAGUAAUCUGCCCCUGGCUUUGGGAUAGCCACCGGAAACGGUGAUUAAUACCGGAUACGACCACUUCUCGCAUGGGAUGGUGGUGGAAAGUUUUUUCGGCCAGGGAUGUGCUCGCGGCCUAUCAGCUUGAUGGUGAGGUAAUGGCUCACCAUGGCUUCGACGGGUAGCCGGCCUGAGAGGGUGACCGGUCACACAGGGACUGAGACACGGCCCAGACUCCUACGGGAGGCAGCAGUGGGGAAUAUUGGACAAUGGGCGGAAGCCUGAUCCAGCAACGCCGCGGGAGGGAUGACGGCCUUCGGGUUGUAAACCUCUUUUAGCAGGGAAGAAGCGAAAGUGACGGUACCUGCAGAAAAAGCACCGGCUAACUACGUGCCAGCCGCCGCCGUAA
rnacentral:rRNA from 1 species